CAGUCGCCGCGGGAAUACGAAGGGUGCAAGCGUUACUCGGAAUUACUGGGCGUAAAGCGCGCGUAGGUGGUGGUUUAAGUCCGUUGUGAAAGCCCUGGGCUCAACCUGGGAAUUGCAGUGGAUACUGGGUCACUAGAGUGUGGUAGAGGAUAGUGGAAUUUCCGGUGUAGCAGUGAAAUGCGUAGAGAUCGGAAGGAACAUCUGUGGCGAAGGCGACUAUCUGGGCCAACACUGACACUGAGGCACGAAAGCGUGGGGAGCAAACAGGAUUAGAUACCCCCGUAGUCCCUGUCUCUUAUAC
rnacentral:rRNA from 1 species